rnacentral:rRNA from 1 species
GAUGAACGCUGGCGGCGUGCUUAACACAUGCAAGUCGAACGGGAAACAUUUUAUUGAAGCUUCGGCAGAUUUAGCUUGUUUCUAGUGGCGGACGGGUGAGUAACGCGUGGGUAACCUGCCUUAUACUGGGGGAUAACAGCCAGAAAUGACUGCUAAUACCGCAUAAGCGCACAGAACCGCAUGGUUCGGUGUGAAAAACUCCGGUGGUAUAAGAUGGACCCGCGUUGGAUUAGCUAGUUGGCAGGGCAGCGGCCUACCAAGGCGACGAUCCAUAGCCGGCCUGAGAGGGUGAACGGCCACAUUGGGACUGAGACACGGCCCAGACUCCUACGGGAGGCAGCAGUGGGGAAUAUUGCACAAUGGGGGAAACCCUGAUGCAGCGACGCCGCGUGAAGGAAGAAGUAUCUCGGUAUGUAAACUUCUAUCAGCAGGGAAGAUAAUGACGGUA